GUCUUUGCCUAUUUAUUUAUAAGCCACAGAAGAUUAAGAAUGAAGGAGGGGAGUAUGUGCAAAGAACCAUCAUACUUAAUUCCCACCUCUUCAAACUGCUAGAGCCACAGACAAUCCUGGAAUACCCCAAAAGAGAGGAGGAUUCCAUGCUGCUGCUCCGCCAUGCUUCACACCAAUCAAUAAGAAGUGUUUCCAGCUGUAUCUACGAAAUGUCUCUCCAGAAUCACUGACAAUUCGGUUCACAUCAUAUGGCAAUUAGAUAAUUUUCUGAUGACUUUUAACUUACCUCCUCUCUUUUGACUUCUCCCUACACCAUAUCAGUGUCCAAAGUGUUGCCAAAACCACUUCGAAAAUGCACAUCUGUUUCUGUCUCUCCCUUAUAUUAUGCCUUCAAAUCAUGACUUCUUAAAAUGAUAUAAGGAAUUUUUACAGUUGGGUAAAAAAUUAAGUUGGAGCCUCCUUUAUAAUUGUUCCUGUACAUUUGCCAUCCCUCCAGACUUAAAGAAUAAAUUGAAGAACUUUGUACAGAAUAUUGACUUUCCUGUUGAUGUGCCAUCAUUUAGUACAGGAGAAACAACUCAGUGUAUACCUAUCUGCAAACUUUUCUAAUGAUAAUUUGUGCCUAUAGUCCUAUACUGAUGUGAAGUGUGAAAAAAUAUAUACCAGGAGAAACAAAGGAGAAUGGCACCAUAUAAUUGGUAGAUUUUCAUCCCAUAGUUUAUUUUCGUAUUUGCCUGCAAGGUCUUUUUUCAUACACUAAAUCAAGCCCUGCCUGUUUUGAAAUCAUCAUCGACACCCCUUCAAAGCACAGUUAAGUACACCUUCUCUGGUUUCACAUGACAAUCUGAUUGCACUGGAUUACAGUCAAAACUUUUGUGUCUGUCUGUGCAAUUUCUGAUGUCCUUAAGGGCAGGGACAAUGUUUUUCCCAAUUUUGUAUUGCCAGUGCCUAGCACAAUCCCUGACUUUUUGUAGAUAGAACUUUUUUCCACCAAUUGUAUAAUUUAAUGAAUCACACAUAUAGACUCUAAUGAUUACAUGAAUAUUAUUAAUUGAUACUCAAUGUUUGUGGUCUAAUAUUAUUUUUCUUGAAAUAAAUUAAGAUAUAUUUAAUAUAAUAAAAUUAAAACUACAAAAUAAAACAAACAUUUAUAACUUGAAUUUAACAUGUCAUAAAUUUUUGCAGUAGCAGUAAUACAUAUUGAAAAAACACAUACCUUGGUAUAACAAAAUAUAAAAAUGAAAAACAAAACCAACCAAAAAACUGCUUAGUACAUUCAUAUACAAUAUUAAAUUGUACUCUAUGAAUACAUACUAAUGUUUAUGAAUUUAGUAAGUUUGCAAUACAUAGAAUUAUUUAUGUCAUUUUAUGCAGAAAAAAGGUAUUGUAUUGGCAUUGUUACACAUUAUAGGUGACAGGUAAUGAAGUAAAUUAUGUUCUAAAAUUAUAUUUUUGCAGAAGUUAUCAACAUCAUUAGGUUUUAUUAACUUAUUCUUGAAGUCUAUAAAAAUUGGCAAGUGGAUCACGAGGUCAGGAGUUCAAGACCAGCCUGGGCAAGAUGGUGAAACCCUGUCUCUACUAAAAAUACAAAAAAAAAUUAGCUGAGCAUGGUGGUGGGCACCUGUAAUCCCAGCUACUUGGGAGGCUGAGGCAGAGAAUUGCUUGAACCUGGGAGGCAGAGGUUGCAAUAAGCCGAGAUCAUGCUGCUGCACUCCAGCCUGGGUGACAGAGAGAGACUCCAUCCCCUACCCCCCCCACCCCCCCAAAAAUAGAGGUCUUUUAAUUUUUCAUCUGUGGGUUACUGUCCAAAACAAUGAACCAAAAGAAUUAUCCCUAAGUAAAUUACCCAUAAUUUCUCCACCUUUAAGUUGUAUUUUUUUCUGAAGAUAAUGGAAAUUAGAAGCUAAAGCGUGCAAACUAUUAAUGUUAGCAUAUGACAGUUGAAGGUGAACACAGAAGGCCUGUUAAGGUGUGCUCACUUCUUAAGGUUAAGACAUAAAGAGAAAACUUCUUACUACAUUAGAAUAUAGGAAGACACCUCUAUUCUGUGUCUUAUGUGAAGAAUAGAGUUAAGAAAGAUGCUGCUAUAAUAAAACAUAACAUUUUUACUUAAUAUUUAUAAACAACCACAUAGAAAAUAUAAUUCUCCAGGAAACAUAAAGUUUAUUUGAUAAACUCUUCAAUUAAAAAAGUGGUUGGGUCAUUUUAAUGGAUGGUCCCAUUGAACCAUGAUAUCUGAAUCGUCCAUCAUUAUUAUAGGUAUAUGAGUAUUAAUGGACCAGAUAACCCCAGUGUGGUAUUCAGGACAUCUUUAUCGUAAGUAUUGUUGAAAAUACUUCAACCUUUUUUAAAAAAAAAUCUAUUCAAAGUAUCUUCUGUUUCUCUAUGAAGAAUAUCCUUUAAUUUUUUUUCUGUGAAAAUAGCCUUUAUUUCAGAAAGGCACAAUGCAAAUUAAUGAAGCCCUAGGCUCACACAUAUCAAGAGUGUUUUAUUUUGUUGAAGUUACUCCUUGGCUUUCAUUGCUAGUAAUAAAAUUCCUUGGUAAGAGAGUCACACCUGUUUGUGAUAAGCAGUCUUGGAAUAUAACGAUGAGUGCUGGAGAAAUGUGAGCAAUGCGACAACAGUGUCUGUUAAAAUGUGCUUUUUCAUAGUUUAUUUUUAUCCAUUGUGUUGGGCAUUCAUUUGACUCUCUAAAACUCAUGUCCUUUAGUACUUUUAGAAUUCUCUUGAUUUUUAAAAUAAGGUAAUUUCUCCACUAUCUUUCAAAGCUUUACCUUUCAAGGAGCAAGAGUUUUAAUUUGGGAAAUUCUAUUUAUCAUUUUUCUUUCAUAGUAUAUAUACUUUAUGUUGUUUCAAAUAUUUUUGCCCAACCUAAUGUCAUGAAGAUUUUCUACAAUAUUUUAUUCUACAAGUUUUGCCGCUUUAUCUGUUAAGUUUUAAUCUAUAAUCUAUUUUGAGUUAAUUUUUAUACUUAAAUAUCAAAUUAUUUUUGGACUCCCUAUUUCAUUCCGUUAAUCUACAUCUUUUUUUUUUUUUUUUUUUUUUUUUUUUUGAGUCGGAGUCUCACUCUGUCGCCCAGGCUGGAGUGCAGUGGCGUGAUCUCGGUUUACUGCAAACUCCGCCUCCCAGGUUCCCGCCAUUCUCCUGCCUCAGCCUCCGGAGUAGCUGGGACUACAGACACCUGCCACGGCGCCGGCUAAUUUUGUGUGUGUGUGUGUGUGUGUGUGUAUUUUUCGUAGAGACGGGGUUUCACCGUGGUCUCCAUCUCCUGACAUCGUGAUCCGCCCGCCUCAGCCUCCCAAAGUGCUGGGAUUACAGGCGUAAGCCACGCGCCCGGCCCCGUUAAUCUACGUAUCUAUCUAUAUGCCAAAAAACGUACAGAGCUGAUUACUGUUGCUUUUCAGGAACUUUUAAAAUCAGAUACUGUAAGUCCUCUAACUUUGUACCUUUUGAAAAACAUUUAGCUAUUGUUGUCUUUGCCUUUCCACCUAAAUUUUUAAAUCAUGUGGUCAAUUUCUUCAAAAAAAGGCUUGUUACCAUUUUUAUUAGGAUUUCAUUGGAUCUAUAGACCAAUUUAUUAAGAAUUGUCAGACUAACAAUAAAAUUUUAAAAUUAGGUGUUGUAAAUCCUCCAACUUUGUACUUUUUCAAAAGUGUUUAGCUAUUAUUGUCUUUGCCAUCCAUACAGAUUUUUAAUUGAUAUUGGCAAUUUCUUCAGAAAAUGCUUGUGACAGCUUUAAUUGUGAUUUCUUUGUACUGACAGGACAAAUUUUGAGAAUUGUCAGACUAAUAAUGUUGACUCUUCAAAUGUAUGAACAAGGUACAUUCACUAGCUAAUUAAGUCUUCCUUUAUUUCCUUUGCAAUGAUUUGUAUCUUUCAGUGUACACAAAAAACAAAAUAUCCAAAUGCUUAGUUUUGUUGUUAAGGUAUGCUCUUUGACAAAAAGAGUAUUAUAUGAAAAACACUAAUCUAACAUUGUCAUCUCUGAUAAAACAUUUCUUAUGAAUAACAAUGUAUGAUUUCAAUUGUGAUAAAAAUAAUGGGUUCCAUAGGAAUCAUAGCAUAUUGUGUUCAAGUUAUAUAAAAUUACACCAUAGAAUUUAUAUUUUCAGAAGAGUUUUGAAUGACCAUUGUGGUGAUACAUGCUUUUUUUUUUCUUCUCCUAUGCCAUGUUUUGUAGUCAUUUUAUUCAAAAUAUAUACAUUUUCAUUUUUGAAGAGUGUUUACCUGGACUUCAUUAAAUAACCAGUGUAUAUUUCAUUUUAGGUAAGAUUUGUUUCAGUUGUAAUUAAGAUCCUUAGCCUCUAAUUCUAGUUGAAUUUUUCCCAUCAAUUCUUCUCAUUUAUUCACUACAAAGAAAUUGCUAUAGUACUUAAAGUAUCUAAUUAUACAGUUUUGCUCCCUUAUAAAUAAAUGAGAACAUAAUGAAUACAUUAGUAAUCAGUGGGUGGAUUCACAACAAUGUAAGAGGUAUAAAAUAUUUGUACAGCUUGACAGGUAGAAACAUUUCUCUACUAAUGGUUUAUGUAAAUUCAUUACUUAUAUACUUUUGAUGGGAUUCUAUAGUAUUCUCUUAUUUUAUGAUUUCUUAUUGUUAGUAUGUAGAAAUUCAAUUGUCUUUUCUGCAUUGACCUUGCAUCUUGCAAUCCUAAACAUUAUCUUCUUUGUUAGCUAGUAGCUUUUUUAUAUAUUUCAUAGAGUUUAUUGCAUAUGCAAUCAUGUCAUCUGUUAAUAAAGAUUUUUACUUCUUACUUUUUAAACAGUAUGAUUUUUUUCCCUACUACACUGGCUAAAACAUCCAGUAUAAUUUUAAAAAACAAGAGAUAAGAAUAAAUAUCCCUUUUUUCCUUUUUAUUAGUAAAAAGCAUUGGGCCUUGCCCUUGGAUAUUAUAUUAGCUAUAAGUUUUUUAAUAGAUACCCCAAAUCAAAUGGAGAAAAUCUAUUCUCACUUUUCUGAGAGUGGUUUCCUAUGAAUGAGUGCUGAAUUUUGUCAAAUAUUUUUUUCCACCUAUUAAAGUGAACACAUUAUUUAUCUCUUUUGUAAUUUUAAUGUGGUAAUUAAAAUUACUGAUUUUCUGACAAACCUUACAUUCUCAGGAUAAAUUCUACUGGGUCCAUGCUUUUUGAUUUGAUUUCCUAAUUUUUUAAAAAUAAUUGUGUGUCUACAUUCAUGAAGGUUAUCAAUCUGUCAUUCUUUCUUUAAAUAUCUUGUCUGAUUUUGGUAUUCAGGCAUUACCGAACUCAUAAAAUGAAUUAUGAAGUGUCCUUUAUUUUCUGAAAAAUUUUGUGCGUAAUUGUAAUUUUGGUUUGCCUCAAUGUUUGAUAGUGUUCAGAUGUGAAGACAAGCUAUGCACUUCCAAUUGAAUAAAUUUUGGUAUUGUCUAUCUUUCCAGAAUUUUUUUAUUCCAUCUAAGUUGCCAAACAUAUUAGAAUAAAGUUGCUUAUAAUAUUAUUUUAUUACUCUUUAAUGAACAUUGGAACUUAUAAAAAG
rnacentral:lncRNA from 1 species